UACAGAGGGUGCUAGCGUUGUUCGGAAUCAUUGGGCGUAAAGGGCGUGUAGGCGGUUUGUUAAGUCAUGUGUGAAAUCCCUCGGCUCAACCGGGGAACGACGCAUGAAACUGGCAAGCUAGAGUACCAAAGAGGGGGGUGGAAUUCCCGGUGUAGCGGUGAAAUGCGUAGAUAUCUGGAGGAACACCGGUGGCGAAGGCGGCUACCUGGCCCAACAUUGACACUGAGACCCGAAAGCGUGGGGAUCAAACAGG
rnacentral:rRNA from 1 species